CGUUAUGUCUUAAUAGGUAAUUCAAUUGCCAAUUGAAGUCCAUCAUCACGGAUCACUUCUCUUUUUCUGGAGGAAAAACUAUAAUCAUGGGUGGAGGAUAUGUAGAUGAAUCCCAAUUUGCCCACUACACAGGGAUCAAGAAGUGGUUCAAUGCAGACACAACAUUUGGCAAGAGGAAUUGUGUAGUUGCCACAUAUGCGGCGACCUUUUUCCUUGUAUGGUACGUCAGGAGGAGGAUGAACAAGAACAAGGCUAUAGCAUCAGCAGCAGCGGGGGAUAUCAGCAAAUAGAAUGUGUAGUGGAUUUAAGGUGCAUGUAUCAAAGAAUGAACUGUACAUCCCUAUUGGAUAUAUAUUAGGAUAAAUAUACUGUUGAUUGAGUGAACUUUGACCUUCUCCACUGUCUCAUACUGCUGACCUAAAGACGAUCACCCCAUGAUCAUCACCAAAUAUGUCUUCACCUCGAACACCCUGGUUUGGUGCCCUCGUGUGACUACAACGUGGCAUGCCCUACUCUCCGUACACCUCAGUUCUGCAUUUGCCUCAUGAGAUACAUUUUAAUGGAUAUGAUCAGGCAAUGAUGACUAUUAUGUUUAAGGAAAGAGCAAGGUGGAAUAUGUAUUACCCCUGUAGUCAUUUUGGCACGUGUACAUUUUCAAUGUAAACAAAAACACUAAGAAAUUAAUGGAUAUAAUCUCAAAUACUUGCAAGGAUUUGAUGAUCAUUUUUAGACCGAUUGUUAAAUAGCGGUACAUGCCAUGCAUUUAAAAAUGUGAUGGCAUGCUUAUCACUGAAUUGAACUUAUAUAUUUGUGUUAUUGAAGGAAAGAAGGAAAUUUUAUCACUACCAAGUGUAUUUGAAGAAUUUUAGAUAUCACCCUCCACGUACAUUUAAAAAGAAAAUUAACAAAUAAGCAUCUUUUGCAUCCUAUUGUUCUCUUUUCAAAUGUGUGUUGGAGUUUGUUGAAAACUGAAUAAAAAAUGCUAUUUGAAUACUGAAAA